GAUCGGAACGCUAGCAGCUGACCUCCCCGAGAACGCAUUUGCUCAGGCUUUCGAUGAUGCUAAUAUCAUCGUCACUAACCGAUUCAUCGAUCCCUUUUGGAGGAUCAAAAGGCUUCUUCGCGUGCAAGGAGAGGCGCGCCUGCAGCGGAGCAUCAAAGUCCUCGAUGAGUUCACCUACGACAUUAUUCGUCGGAGGAAAGCAAAGAUCAAGCUUGCACGAGCCAAGAGAAAUGGAGAUGAGGUAAUAUGACCUGAUACGCUCCUGCUUUGAUCUGGUUGCCAUCCUAGAACUCUGUUCUUGCUUCUGCAACAGAUGAAGCAUGAUCUGCUGUCGAGGUUCAUCGAGCUCGGCGAGGGCGACGGCAGCAUCUUCAGCGACGACAAGAGCCUCAGAGAUGUGGUCCUUAACUUUGUGAUCGCAGGAAGGGACACGACGGCGGCGACGCUGUCAUGGUUCAUCUACAUGGUGAUGACACACCCUGGUGUGGCCGAGAAGCUCCAUGACGAGGUCAGGGCAUUCGAAGAAGAGCGCGCCAAGGAAGAAGGUGUUGCGCUACUGGUCGAGGCUUUCGAUGACAGGAUGACGCAGUUUGCUGGCUUCCUCAGCUAUGAUUCCAUGGGAAGAUUGGCUUACCUCCAUGCAUGCAUCUCAGAGACUCUCAGACUGUACCCUGCAGUUCCUCAGGUGAUCGAUCCCAUUCCAUGGCCUGCAAACCUGCACAGAUAACUUGCAAUCAAUCUUCAUCAUGUAACCGUGAGUGAGAGAAUGCAGGAUCCUAAAGGAAUUCUGAAGGAUGAUGUACUACCAGAUGGAACAAAGGUGAAAGCAGGUGACAUGGUUACCUAUGUUCCCUAUGUCAUGGGGAGAAUGGAGUACAACUGGGGACCUGAUGCAGCACUGUACAAACCUGAGAGGUGGUUCAAGGAUGGGAUAUUGCAGACCGUCUCCCCAUUCAAGUUCACAGCAUUCCAGGUACAUCCACCAUGGAAAUCGAAAGCUCAC
rnacentral:lncRNA from 1 species